AUUCCAUGUUUUGGACAUUUUUUCAACAUCUCCUUGUAUCUCUCUCAAGUAUCAUAUAAGGAUUCUGAUUCCAAUUGUAGGAAAGAGGAGAUAUCACUCCUCAACUU